rnacentral:rRNA from 1 species
UACGUAGGGCGCGAGCGUUGUCCGGAUUUAUUGGGCGUAAAGAGCUCGUAGGCGGCUUGUCGCGUCAACUGUGAAAACCCGUGGCUCAACCAUGUGGUCUGCAGUCGAUACGGGCAGGCUAGAAUUCGGUAGGGGAGACUGGAAUUCCUGGUGUAGCGGUGAAAUGCGCAGAUAUCAGGAGGAACACCGGUGGCGAAGGCGGGUCUCUGGGCCUUACCUGACGCUGAGGAGCGAAAGCGUGGGGAGCGAACAGG